GGAACUGUAAUUGCGUCCAUAUUCAUUUUGAUUUUACCCUCUUUUGGUAUAUAAAAAAUUUACCUUUAUCGUUUUUUUUUUUUGGUUUUUAUAUAGAAAAUGAAAUAAUUUUGAUUGAAAAUUGAUGAAUCCGAAAAUGAAUAUUCCCGGAUGUAUAUAGAAUGUGGAAUCAAAUAUUUUUGUAAAAGUGAUGCAAUAAUGGAUCAUAUAAAUAAAACGCUUAUAGAAAAUUAG
rnacentral:lncRNA from 1 species